rnacentral:rRNA from 1 species
UACGGGGGGGGCAAGCGUUGUUCGGAAUUACUGGGCGUAAAGGGCUCGUAGGCGGCCAACUAAGUCAGACGCGAAAUCCCUCGGCUUAACCGGGGAACUGCGUCUGAUACUGGAUGGCUAGAGGUUGGGAGAGGGAUGCGGAAUUCCAGGUGUAGCGGUGAAAUGCGUAGAUAUCUGGAGGAACACCGGUGGCGAAGGCGGCAUCCUGGACCAAUUCUGACGCUGAGGAGCGAAAGCCAGGGGAGCAAACGGG